CAGAGGAGGACUCAGGGGCUUAAGGAGAAGCUGAGGCCCGGUCCUCUGGCCUCAACGACUGCACAUUCUCGCCGCCUGCUUCACUUCUUAGAGCCUUGGAGGAGAUAGAACCUUCUAGUAAAAAUGAGAAAAUCCGGCCGGGCGCGGCGGCUCACGCCUGUAAUCCCAGCACUUUGGGAGGCUGAGGCGAGUGGAUCACCUGAGGUCGGGAUCACCUGAGGCUGAGGCUGAGGCAAGGAGAAUCGCUGGAACCCAGGAAAGAGGUUGCAGUGAGCCGAGAUCGCACCAUUGCACUCCAGCCUGGGCAACAAGAGCAAAACUCCGUCUCAAAAAAAUAAAAAAGAUGUUCAGAGAAACAGUUCCAUUUACUAAGUCACUGCUGGUGGCCAAAGCCUAGUUAAUG
rnacentral:lncRNA from 1 species